AUAAUCGACACUCCACGCUAUACCUCACCCCCCCUUGCCACCCCAAUCUAUAUACCGCCGUCGCCAGUUCACAAUGUGAGUGUACCACCGUGAGCAAAACCAUCAACCAUUAAAACGACAGGUCAAGGUGUAGUUUACGGGGGGGGAAGUGAUGGGCUACAUUUUCUCCACUAGAAAAUACCAACCGCACCGUGAAACUUAUGCCCGCAGGCGGAUUUAGAAGUAAGCUUGGCAAGACAUGCCAACCUGAAACCAGCCCUGGGACG
rnacentral:rRNA from 1 species